UCUUCCGCAAUGGACGAAAGUCUGACGGAGCAACGCCGCGUGAGUGAUGAAGGUUUUCGGAUCGUAAAACUCUGUUGUUAGGGAAGAACAAGUACCGUUCGAAUAGGGCCCCACCUUGACGGUACCUAACCAGAAAGCCACGGCUAACUACGUGCCCGACGCCGCGGUAAUACGUAGGAGGCAAGCGUUGUCCGGAAUUAUUGGGCGUAAAUCGCGCGCAGGCGGUUUCUUAAGUCUGAUGUGAAAGCCCCCGACUCAACCGGGGAGGGUCAUUGGAAACUGGGGAACUUGAGUGCAGAAGAGGAGAGUGGAAUUCCACGUGUAGCGGUGAAAUGCGUAGAGAUGUGGAGGAACACCAGUGGCGAAGGCGACUCUCUGGUCUGUAACUGACGCUGAGGCGCGAAAGCGUGGGGAGCGAACAG
rnacentral:rRNA from 1 species